AGUGGACGCUGGCGGUAGGCCUAACACAUGCAAGUCGAACGGCAGCACAGUAAGAGCUUGCUCUUACGGGUGGCGAGUGGCGGACGGGUGAGGAAUACAUCGGAAUCUACUUUUUCGUGGGGGAUAACGUAGGGAAACUUACGCUGAUACCGCAUACGACCUACGGGUGAAAGCAGGGGAUCUUCGGACCUUGCGCGAUUGAAUGAGCCGAUGUCGGAUUAGCUAGUUGGCGGGGUAACGGCCCACCAAGGCGACGAACCGUAGCUGGUCUGAGAGGAGGAUCAGCCACACUGGAACUGAGACACGGUCCAGACUCCUGCGGGAGGCAGCAGUGGCGAAUAUUGGACAAUGGGCGCAAGCCUGAUCCAACGAGACCGAGUGGGUGAAGAAGGCCUUCGGGUUGUAAAGCCCUUUUGUUGGGAAAGAAAAGCAGCAGGUUAAUACCCCGCUGUUCUGACGGUACCCAAAGAAUAAGCACCGGCUAACUUCGUG
rnacentral:rRNA from 1 species